rnacentral:misc_RNA from 1 species
AAAGCAACUAAUUGAAACAACUUGUUAUCUACAAUCUCAUUACAAUCAAACAUUACUGUAUCAUUACAGCAACUUAAUGCACAUAUAGCCUCAUUUUUGUGAUAGAAGACAUUGAAAUACAUCACAAAGUAUACAGUCAUCCAGCAUAUGGGAAGACAAUUUACAUUACAUCCCUAGAAAUAAUCACAGCACCAUCGCAGGAAGGGGAAAAGAUGUAACUGAAAAACUAUAAUCCCAGAACUUGUAAACUUUAUUCCUUACUCCACUCUUGAUGGUAAAACCAUAAGGGCAACCAAAAAAAAAAAAAUAAUAAUAAUCAAGCCAGAAAAAAGAACUAAUUACUUUAUUUUACAAUUAGAUAUUAUACCCCUCUGACCAAAAAGAAGAAAACUAGCAUACCAUCUCUGGAGUAAGAUCAAUU